rnacentral:lncRNA from 10 species
AGACGAGUCAUACGGACCCCCAGAGUUGUGCAAUGUGGCAACUUUGCCCAUAUUUUUCCUCUGUUUUCUUCUAUCAUAAUUUUUAUCACACUCUUACUGCAAUGAUUUAUUUACCUGUUGGUUUCUCCCUCAGACUCUGAACUCCUCGAGGACUCUGACACAGAGUCAGGGCUCAGUAAGUGCCUGCCUGAAUGAAGGGAUCCUGGCCCAGUUCCUGAACCCAGAAGCUGCAGCCUGGUCAGGGAGACAGAAUGAAUCAACGUGAGACAUGUCAAGAACUGAGCAUGACUAGAGGUUCACACCCCUGAGGCUUUCCUAGGAGAGACCAACAGAGCUGUAAGGGAGGAUGUGGUGGUCAGAGUGGGAGACUGGAGUGGAGAUGGAAAGAAUGAGGAGGUACUUAGAAAAUCCAAUAGCGGUCGGCCACCACGCCCAGUGACAGUAAGUAGAUUUUAAACAGGGGCAUAAAAUGGUCUGAUUUUAUUUUAAAAAUUGGUCUGUUUUUGGAGAUGGGAUCAGAGGGGAACACUUAGGCAUUGCUGCAACAGUCCAGAAGAGAUGGGAUGAAGGUCUGAAGAUAGCAAGUGGCAGUGUCAUCUUUAUAAAGCACAGAUGUGGUCAUUUGACUCUUCUGUUAAGAAUCCUUUCGGUGGCUCCCCACAGUCUUCAGGAUGAGAAUGCAAGGCCUCCUUCUAUCUUCUUGGCCUCAGGGGCCACCAGUUUCCCAUACAGCAGCCCAAGCUGCUCACUGAUUCCGCUCCCCACACCCUCCAUCAUGCCUCCAUGUCUGUGGUGUUCCCUUUGCCGGGCAUGCCCUUACCCAUCACGGGAACUCCUUCUCAACCUUCCGCGCUCAGCUCCAUUAUCACCUCCUCUGUUAAGCUUUGCCAGACCACCACGCCCAAACGGAAUCUGGUGUUCUCAGUUUUGUACAUGCAGGCCUUUGCCAAAUCAUUUUGUUAGUUAGUUUGUUUUUUCACAGAGUCUCGCUCUCUGUCGCCCAGGCUGGAGUGCAGUGGCGCAAUCAUAUCUCACCGUAACCUCCACCUCCUGAGCAAUCCU